ensembl:lncRNA
GCCUUGGCUGCAUGGUGUGCGGUUGUGAGCUAGGCCUGUGGCCUAUCCAGGCAUGGCUGACCAUCUAAAGGGAUGUGGACAGCUCAGGGGCAGGUGGGGGCCUGCACUCCAGGGCUCUGCUGUCGGCCGCCUGGGGGCAGCAGAGAGCAACGGAUGCCUGGCCUCUGAGUGAGAGGUGGGGUGCCCUCAGGCCUCUGAGUGAGGGGUGGGGUGUCCCCACCCUGACCCCAUGGGUGCCUGGAUGGUUCCAGGCAGCAGGGCAGGCCUGUGAGCCUCUGAAGGACUCAGAGAGCUGGGGGGGUCUAGUGGACGAAUGCAGAGCCCUGGGCCCACGAUGGGGGCAUCUCUGCUUUGACCUGACCCCCUUGGCGCAGAGGAGCCGGACAGUGCUACCCAGUGUCCAGUGGAUGCUACGGGCCCAGGGGGGCCUCUGGGGAACCUGGAUGUCACUCCACCCGUGCUGUUAAGCUCCCCGGCGUUUCCUCAGGACUACGGGAUGAGCGUUUUCCACGGAAGUGACACCGAAGAUGACUUUCACGGCUGCACCCAAUUGCACUGUUUCCACGGAAGUGACACCGAAGAUGACUUUCACGGCUGCACCCAAUUGCACUGUCACUGUGCUGGUUUGUGUCACCCCUUGCUGCUAUACCCUGCCUUCUCCGGUGUCUGGAUGGAGCGGGUUUCCCGGGGACUGGGUUUCCUGGAGACCAGGUAAAUCGUGCCCAGGGGCAGGCAGCCAGGGGAGAGGAGCAGAUGGCACACUGAUGACGCAGCCGCCACCAGGAGCUGGUCCAUGGAGGGGAUACAGCAACACCCGACGCUUUCACCCGGUUGAUCUGAUGAACACAGCCGAAGACUUCCGGCAGCACAGGCCUGGGUUCUCAUUUAUUACUGUCUUGGGACUUGGUGUGCUGAUUUUUGCCCAGCAAACGGUGUCAUGGUUGUGAGUGAGGUGACAGGUAAGGCUGUGGGGUCAUCGCUCGCCUCCCCAUCGCUCCCCAUCGCUCCCCAUCGCUCCCCCAUCGCUCGCCUGCACCUGGACCUCCUGGAGCCUCAGUCAGUGCAGCCAGGGCAGGUAGGACAUGGUUACCCUCCUCUGCUAGUUUCGAG